rfam:Cavia porcellus supercont2_15 genomic scaffold, whole genome shotgun sequence.
GGGGAUUUAGCUCAGUGGCACAAGCGUCUGCCUUACAAGCAGAUAGUCGUGAGUUCGAUCCCUG